rnacentral:rRNA from 1 species
UGGGGAAUUUUGGACAAUGGGGGAAACCCUGAUCCAGCCAUCCCGCGUGUGCGAUGAAGGCCUUCGGGUUGUAAAGCACUUUUGGCAGGAAAGAAACGUCAUGGGUUAAUACCCCGUGAAACUGACGGUACCUGCAGAAUAAGCACCGGCUAACUACGUGCCAGCAGCCGCGGUAAUACGUAGGGUGCAAGCGUUAAUCGGAAUUACUGGGCGUAAAGCGUGUGCAGGCGGUUCGGAAAGAAAGAUGUGAAAUCCCAGAGCUUAACUUUGGAACUGCAUUUUUAACUACCGGGCUAGAGUGUGUCAGAGGGAGGUGGAAUUCCGCGUGUAGCAGUGAAAUGCGUAGAUAUGCGGAGGAACACCGAUGGCGAAGGCAGCCUCCUGGGAUAACACUGACGCUCAUGCACGAAAGCGUGGGGAGCAAACA